rnacentral:rRNA from 1 species
UAAUACGUAAGGGGCUAGCGUUACUCGGAUUUAUUGGGCGUAAAGCGAAUGUAGGCGGUUGAAUAAGUCAGUGGUGAAAUCCCUCAGCUUAACUGAGGAAUUGCCAUUGAUACUGUUCGACUUGAGGACAGGAGAGGAAAGUGGAAUUCCCGGUGUAGCGGUGGAAUGCGUAGAUAUCGGGAGGAACACCAGAGGCGAAGGCGGCUUUCUGGACUGAUCCUGACGCUGAGAUUCGAAAGCUAGGGGAGCAAACAGGAUUAGAUACCCUGGUAGUCCUAGCUGUAAACGAUGGAUACUAGAUUUUGCAAAAUAUUGCUUGGUCGAAGCUAACGCGUUAAGUAUCCCGCCUGGGGAGUACGGUCGCAAGGCUG